UCACCUUGCAAAGUCCAACUUUUGUCUGCUGUCACCUCUCGAUCCACCCUAACUCCUGAAGGAGAGGAACUCAAACAGAUAUUUCAUAUAGGUUUCAAAAAGCAUGAGGGACAAGAUCGAACCCUGGGGCACCACACAGACUGAUGGCAAUGUGGAACGUGCUUAUCCUUGUGAUGUUUCAUCUCACAUGUGUUGUUAUAUGCAGUCAAACAGGUUUGCAGCCAAUAAGUGAACUCAGGGUUGUGAUUGACAAGGCAGUGACUACAGCCCU